CCUACGGGAGGCAGCAGUGAGGAAUAUUGGUCAAUGGCCGCAGGGCUGAACCAGCCAAGUCGCGUGAGGGAUGACGGUCCUAUGGAUUGUAAACCUCUUUUGUCAGGGAGCAAAGGGCGCCACGUGUGGCGCUUUGCGAGUACCUGAAGAAAAAGCAUCGGCUAACUCCGUGCCAGCAGCCGCGGAAAUACGGGGGAUGCGAGCGUUAUCCGGAUUUAUGGGGUUUAAGGGGAGCGGAGGCGGAAUGGCAGGUUAGCGGUAAAAUUUCGGGGCUCAACCCCGUCGUGCCGUUGAGACUGGCGUUCUUGAGUGAGCGAGAAGUAUGCGGAAUGCGUGGUGUAGCGGUGAAAUGCAUAGAUAUCACGCAGAACUCCGAUUGCGAAGGCAGCAUACCGGCGCUCAACUGACGCUCAUGCACGAAAGCGUGGGUAUCGAACAGGAUUAGAUACCCGAGUAGUC
rnacentral:rRNA from 1 species